rnacentral:rRNA from 1 species
UAGGUUAACGAGGCGAACCGGGGGAACUGAAACAUCUAAGUACCCCGAGGAAAAGAAAUCAACCGAGAUUCCCCCAGUAGCGGCGAGCGAACGGGGAGCAGCCCAGAGUCUGAAUCAGCUUGUGUGUUAGUGGAACGGUCUGGAAAGUCCGACGGUACAGGGUGAUAGUCCCGUACACCAAAAUGCACAGGCUGUGAACUCGAAGAGUAGGGCGGGACACGUGGUAUCCUGUCUGAAUAUGGGGGGACCAUCCUCCAAGGCUAAAUACUCCUGACUGACCGAUAGUGAACCAGUACCGUGAGGGAAAGGCGAAAAGAACCCCGGCGAGGGGAGUGAAAAAGAACCUGAAACCGUGUACGUACAAGCAGUGGGAGCACCUUCGGGUGUGACUGCGUACCUUUUGUAUAAUGGGUCAGCGACUUAUAUUCUGUAGCAAGGUUAACCGUAUAGGGGAGCCGCAGGGAAACCGAGUCUUAACUGGGCGUUAAGUUGCAGGGUAUAGACCCGAAACCCGGUGAUCUAGCCAUGGGCAGGUUGAAGGUUGGGUAACACUAACUGGAGGACCGAACCGACUAAUGUUGAAAAAUUAGCGGAUGACUUGUGGCUGGGGGUGAAAGGCCAAUCAAACCGGGAGAUAGCUGGUUCUCCCCGAAAGCUAUUUAGGUAGCGCCUCGUGAAUUCAUCUUCGGGGGUAGAGCACUGUUUCGGCUAGGGGGU